rnacentral:sRNA from 1 species
UUGGGAGGAGUUACAAGGAAACACUCUCGCUGCGCUUAGAGAGGACGAAGAAUUGAGCCGGGUCAUGAAAGUACCGGUUUAUCCUAUUGGGCCAAUUGUUAGGACUAACCAGCAUGUAGACAAACCCAAUAGUAUAUUCGAGUGGCUAGACGAGCAACGGGAAAGGUCAGUGGUGUUUGUGUGUUUAGGGAGCGGUGGAACGUUGACGUUUGAGCAAACAGUGGAACUCGCUUUGGGUUUAGAGUUAAGUGGUCAAAGGUUCGUUUGGGUUCUACGUAGGCCCGCUUCAUAUCUCGGGGCGAUCUCCAGCGAUGAUGAACAGGUAAGUGCCAGUCUACCUGAAGGUUUCUUGGACCGCACGCGUGGUGUGGGGAUUGUGGUUACGCAAUGGGCACCACAAGUUGAGAUCUUGAGCCAUAGAUCGAUCGGUGGGUUCUUGUCUCACUGCGGUUGGAGUUCGGCUUUGGAAAGUUUGACUAAAGGAGUUCCGAUCAUCGCUUGGCCUCUUUAUGCGGAGCAGUGGAUGAAUGCCACGUUAUUGACUGAGGAGAUCGGUGUGGCCGUUCGUACAUCGGAGUUACCGUCGGAGAGAGUCAUCGGAAGGGAAGAAGUGGCAUCUCUGGUGAGAAAGAUUAUGGCGGAAGAGGAUGAAGAAGGACAGAAAAUUAGGGCUAAAGCUGAGGAGGUGAGGGUUAGCUCCGAACGAGCUUGGAGUAAAGACGGGUCAUCUUAUAAUUCUCUAUUCGAAUGGGCAAAACGAUGUUAUCUUGUACCGUGAUUCGAGAAUAACAUCAUGAACAACAAUUUCUGUUUAAGAUAUCAACUUUUUCUAUAUGAAUAUAUAUUAAGGUGUGUUAAAUUUUGCUAUGCAUAUAUACAAGAUAUGUACUUCAAUCAGGUAUCCUU